rnacentral:rRNA from 1 species
GCUUACGGCCAUACCACCGUAGGGCACGCCCGAUCUCGUCUGAUCUCGGAAGCUAAGCAGGGUCGGGCCUGGUUAGUACUUGGAUGGGAUGGACCGCCUGGGGAAAUACCAGUGCUGUAAGCA